GACGAACGCUGGCGGCGUGCCUAAUACAUGCAAGUAGAACGCACAGUUUAUACCGUAGCUUGCUACACCAUAGACUGUGAGUUGCGAACGGGUGAGUAACGCGUAGGUAACCUGCCUGGUAGCGGGGGAUAACUAUUGGAAACGAUAGCUAAUACCGCAUAAUAUUAAUUAUUGCAUGAUAAUUAAUUGAAAGGUGCAAUUGCACCACUACCAGAUGGACCUGCGUUGUAUUAGCUAGUAGGUGAGGUAACGGCUCACCUAGGCGACGAUACAUAGCCGACCUGAGAGGGGGAUCGGCCACACUGGGACUGAGACACGGCCCAGACUCCUACGGGAGGCAGCAGUAGGGAAUCUUCGGCAAUGGACGAAAGUCUGACCGAGCAACGCCGCGGGAGGGAAGAAGGUUGUCGGAUCGUAAAGCUCUGUUGUAAGAGAAGAACGGGUGUGAGAGUGGAAAGUUCACACUGUGACGGUAUCUUACCAGAAAGGGACGGCUAACUACGUG
rnacentral:rRNA from 1 species